UCUCCGUUGGUGAACCAGCGGAGGGAUCAUUACCGAGUUUGCUUUUCUAGCUCGAAACCCACUGUGAACAUACCUCCUGUCUCGUUGCUUUCGGCGGACGGCCGUGUUUUUCCUCCCCCUCGGGGGAGUAUAGCGCGCCUCCGUCGGAUGGAACGCACAACUAAACUCUUGCAAAUGCAACACUAGAAGUAUCUAUCUGAGUCGGUAUUUUUUCUUUGAAAAAUUUAUCAAAACUUUCAGCAACGGAUCUCUUGGUUCUGGCAUCGAUGAAGAACGCAGC
rnacentral:misc_RNA from 1 species